rnacentral:rRNA from 1 species
AUUGAACGCUGGCGGCAUGCCUUACACAUGCAAGUCGAACGGCAGCACGGGAGCUUGCUCCUGGUGGCGAGUGGCGAACGGGUGAGUAAUAUAUCGGAACGUACCCUAGAGUGGGGAUAACGCAGCGAAAGUUGCGCUAAUACCGCAUACGAUCUACGGAUGAAAGUGGGGGAUCGCAAGACCUCGCGCGAUUGGAGCGGCCGAUAUCAGAUUAGGUAGUUGGUGAGGUAAAGGCUCACCAAGCCGACGAUCUGUAGCUGGUCUGAGAGGACGACCAGCCACACUGGGACUGAGANACGGCCCAGACUCCUACGGGAGGCAGCUAG